rnacentral:rRNA from 1 species
AUUGAACGCUGGCGGCAGGCCUAACACAUGCCAGUCGAGCGGAUGAAGGGAGCUUGCUCCUGGAUUCAGCGGCGGACGGGUGAGUAAUGCCUAGGAAUCUGCCUGGUAGUGGGGGAUAACGUCCGGAAACGGGCGCUAAUACCGCAUACGUCCUGAGGGAGAAAGUGGGGGAUCUUCGGACCUCACGCUAUCAGAUGAGCCUAGGUCGGAUUAGCUAGUUGGUGGGGUAAAGGCCUACCAAGGCGACGAUCCGUAACUGGUCUGAGAGGAUGAUCAGUCACACUGGAACUGAGACACGGUCCAGACUCCUACGGGAGGCAGCGGUGGGGAAUAUUGGACAAUGGGCGAAAGCCUGAUCCAGCCAUGCCGCGUGUGUGAAGAAGGUCUUCGGAUUGUAAAGCACUUUAAGUUGGGAGGAAGGGCAGUAAGUUAAUACCUUGCUGUUUUGACGUUACCAACAGAAUAAGCACCGGCUAACUUCGUG